GAGGCCACCUGCUCUGUACAUCCAGGGUGGCAAGGGCUACCGUUGCGGACAGGGAAGCCGAGGCCAGGAGAGGUCGAAUCUAGUUCAAGUCGCUCAACCUGUUUCUUGGUUAAAGCCAGAGUUCUGAAUUAACUCUGUAUUUGUUGUUGAGAGGCCCACAGUGAGGGGUCUGGAUCUCCCAGUCACCUUUUGGAAGGGCAAGAACCGUGUCAUCAGGCCUGCCGUCUCCCCAUCGCCACGGGCUCGUCCCCCAUCAUACUGCGUGACCUACCCUGCACAGAGGAAGAGGCUUUUGAGAAGGCCUUGGAGGAUGGGAGCAUUUCAACACAUGGAGGUGGGCAGAAACCCAAAGAGUACUCACCAGUUGGAUGAUGUCCCUGAGGCCUUUAUAAAACCGAAUCCUGAAUACAGUCAGAGCUCAACCAAAAGGAGUGAGUCCAAAAUCUAUGAGGAGACGGACAGAAACAAAAAGGUGACUCAUGAAAGGGAGGAGCACAGGGAGCCCAGGUUUGAGAUCAGAAGGGAGAAGGAAGACAACAAUGCAAAAGGGGAUGUUUUUGAGAAGUGUUGCUUGAUGAUGCAUUUUAGGUUUCACUAUAUUGGUCAGACUGGUCUCGAACUCCUGACCUCAGGUAAUCCACCUGCCUCGGCCUCCCAAAGUGCUGGGAUUACAGGCAUGAGCCACCACACCUGGCCAAUUAGGCCUCAGUGUGCAGACAUUAAUCAGUGGUUUUAAUGUCAACAUUUUACCUUUAUUUAUUUUCUUCCUAACCUAUAUGUCAUUAUUGGCAUUGUUUUAUUGCUGUAUACAUUUUGCACUCCAGAUGACAUUAUUAUUUCUGUUUUUACAUAGCUGAUACUCAUUUUCAUUUACCUACAUGUUUACCAUUUAAAUUUUCCUUUAUUCUUUCUUCUCUCUCUGACCAUUCAUCUGGGACCAUUUUUUCUGCCUGAAGAAAAUCCUUCAGGCAGAAAUUUCCUUUAGUGUGGGUCUACUAGAAACAAAAUCUUUCAGUUUUUGUUUGAAAAUAUCUUUAACUUUAUUCUUUUUUUUUU